CCUACGGGAGGCAGCAGUGGGGAAUUUUCCGCAAUGGGCGAAAGCCUGACGGAGCAACGCCGCGUGAGGGAUGAAGGCCUCUGGGCUGUAAACCUCUUUUAUCAAGGAAGAAGAUCUGACGGUACUUGAUGAAUAAGCCACGGCUAAUUCCGUGCCAGCAGCCGCGGUAAUACGGGAGUGGCAAGCGUUAUCCGGAAUUAUUGGGCGUAAAGCGUCCGCAGGCGGUCUUGUAAGCCUGUCGUUAAAGCGUGGAGCUCAACUCCAUUUCGGCGGUGGAAACUACAAGACUAGAGUGUGGUAGGGGCAGAGGGAAUUCCCGGUGUAGCGGUGAAAUGCGUAGAUAUCGGGAAGAACACCAGUGGCGAAGGCGCUCUGCUGGGCCAUAACUGACGCUCAUGGACGAAAGCUAGGGGAGCGAAAGGGAUUAGAUACCCCUGUAGUCCUAGCCGUAAACGAUGAACACUAGGUGUCGGGGGAAUCGACCCCCUCGGUGUCGUAGCUAACGCGUUAAGUGUUCCGCCUGGGGAGUACGCACGCAAGUGUGAAACUCAAAUGAAUUGACGG
rnacentral:rRNA from 1 species